rnacentral:rRNA from 1 species
AAGCUAUUUAGGUAGCGCCUCGUGAAUUCAUCUCCGGGGGUAGAGCACUGUUUCGGCUAGGGGGCCAUCCCGGCUUACCAACCCGAUGCAAACUGCGAAUACCGGAGAAUGUUAUCACGGGAGACACACGGCGGGUGCUAACGUCCGUCGUGAAGAGGGAAACAACCCAGACCGCCAGCUAAGGUCCCAAAGUCAUGGUUAAGUGGGAAACGAUGUGGGAAGGCCCAGACAGCCAGGAUGUUGGCUUAGAAGCAGCCAUCAUUUAAAGAAAGCGUAAUAGCUCACUGGUCGAGUCGGCCUGCGCGGAAGAUGUAACGGGGCUAAACCAUGCACCGAAGCUGCGGCAGCGACACUUUAGUGUUGUUGGGUAGGGGAGCGUUCUGUAAGCCGUUGAAGGUGUCCUGUGAGGGGUGCUGGAGGUAUCAGAAGUGCGAAUGCUGACAUAAGUAACGAUAAAGCGGGUGAAAAGCCCGCUCGCCGGAAGACCAAGGGUUCCUGUCCAACGUUAAUCGGGGCAGGGUGAGUCGACCCCUAAGGCGAGGCCGAA